GCCCCCGUCGUCUAGCCCGGUCAAGGAUACAGCCCUUUCGAGGCUGGGACACGGGUUCAAAUCCCGUCGGGGGCA
rnacentral:tRNA from 1 species